rnacentral:lncRNA from 1 species
UAACUCUGCUUAGGAUUAUUUCGUUGUAUUCAAGCUAUGUGGACAUAAAAGCAGUCACAUUUUAGAAGUCAUGAAGUUGGUGCUAAUAAACCUAAUCUACAGAAAAACUUCUGAAAGCACUUGAGCAUUUGUUCUGUGAAUAGUCCAUACAUUGAUGAAUGGAUGAACACAUUGAUACGUCCACACAACUGAAAUACUACUGAGCAAUAAAAAGGAGUGAACAGUUGUCCUUCAGUGUCUGCAGGGGGGCUGUGGCACAGGCACUUGGCGGAACCUCUGCUUUGGACUGAGAUCAAUACAAGACAGCGUCUCAUCUCUGCAGGUACAGAGCUUACAUAGUAGGUGGACCUGUGACUUCAGUCAGGCUUGGAUGCAGAGUCUGAACCUGGUCUGGAAGAGGAGCUGCAGUCUUCUCCAGGGCUGUAGAAUGUCCAGUCUCUGUAGUGGGUUCUGGAGUGAUGGAAGUCCCAGGUCUGGAGGCUGAGUUGAUGUCUCCUCCAUGGUUGGAGAUGGUUUAACCCCUGUAGUAAGUUCUGUAGUUAUGGUAAGCUCCAGGUC